CUAAGGAUAUUAUGAUUGGAAAUGAUAUUAAAGCUAUGGUCAGUCAAGUGAACACAAACCAGGCACAAGAGAGGAUUGAUCCUGAGGUUGUGCCUAUGGAGGGUUUCUCCAAAAGUUUGUCUUUGGAAAGUAGCUGUUUGGCUGUGAAUGAAGUUUCUGAAUGUCUAUCUAAUGUCUUAGAAGUAAAUCUGGAAUUAGAUCAAGCGAAGGGAGAGGAGAACAAGGGGAUUUUGGAUGAGCCUAGGCAGUCUUGUGAGCUGAUGGCUUUGUCUAGUCAGCAGUUUGGGAAGGCAAGGAGAGUGGAAGAUGAGUGUCCCUAUACCUUACCUAAGGUUUCAGAGUAGCAGCCGUGUUAGUCUGUAUCCGCAAAAAGAACAGGAAAAG